rnacentral:rRNA from 1 species
CGGUCCAGACUGCUACGGGAGGCAGCAGUAGGGAAUCUUCGGCAAUGGACGAAAGUCUGACCGAGCAACGCCGCGUGAGUGAAGAAGGUUUUCGGAUCGUAAAACUCUGUUGUUAGAGAAGAACAAGGAUGAGAGUAGAACGUUCAUCCCUUGACGGUAUCUAACCAGAAAGCCACGGCUAACUACGUGCCACAGGCCGCGGUAA